ACGGAAGGCAGCAGUGGGGGAUAUUGCACAAUGGGCGAAAGCCUGAUGCAGCGACGCCGCGUGAGGGAAGACGGUUUUCGGAUUGUAAACCUCUGUCUUCGGGGACGAAAAUGACGGUACCCGAGGAGGAAGCCACGGCUAACUACGUGCCAGCAGCCGCGGUAAUACGUAGGUGGCAAGCGUUGUCCGGAAUUACUGGGUGUAAGGGAGAGUAGGCGGGAUUGCAAGUCCGUUGUUAAAUCUAUCGGCUCAACCGAUAGUCGCGGCGGAAACUGUAGUUCUUGAGUGAAGUAGAGGCAGGCGGAAUUCCUAGUGUAGCGGCGAAAUGCGUAGAUAUUAGGAGGAACACCAGUGGCGAAGGCGGCCUGCUGGGCUUUAACUGACGCUGAGGCUCGAAAGUGUGGGGAGCAAACAGGAUUAGAUCCCCUGGUA
rnacentral:rRNA from 1 species